rnacentral:lncRNA from 1 species
CACACAUCAAAUUUCUCAUGUUGAUAAUUAAAGAUUAGCUUGAAGCAAAAAAGAGUGACAACUACGAAUCUCAGAACAAUCACUAAAUUGAAAAAGAAUCACAACUUGUCGUGAUUCAAACUGCAUAAAGAGCACAGAGUCCAUCAAAAAAUCAGCAAAACCCCACGGAGGAUUUACAAAUCCAAUGAAACCCUUCUCAGAACCACCGAUGUCGACGUUGGACGCUGAUCAAUCAUGUUAAUGAGAAAAACCCUUCUCAGUCCCACCAACACUAGAAGCUAGAUUAAAAAACAUGAAAUUACGGUAACAAACAGAACUCUGAAAAUAUAUGCAUAAAGUGGAAAAAUGUAAUGGUCAAAGCUCACUCAAUCAAAGCCCAACCUAAUUUACAAACCAAAUGUAGAAUGAAAGCAGAGAAAUUAAGAAGAAUAAAGAUGUAAACAGAAAAGAUCCAGAGAUUAUGGGAGCAUAAUUCAUCACAUAAAAAAAUCUGAAUUCCUUCUCAUAAUCUCUCUCUGAUAUACACCUCUUCCUAACUAAUUUGAUACCUAGCAUGUGCAAGCACAAAUAUAAUAAAAAAUCAGCAGAAACCUAAAGAGGAUUUAUGAAAGCAAAUACAAUGAAAAUAUUCUCAGAGCCAUCGACAUUGGAAGCUGAUCAAUUCAAGUUGUUAAGAAAACCCCUUCUCAGUGUCCAGUCCCACCAACACUAGAAGCCGGUCAUCACUUAGACCAAAGAACAAAACCAAAAAAAGGGGUCCUUCUAGAUUCAUCCGAAUAGAGAAAGUAAUAAACAUGGAAUUAUUGUUGAAAGUAGUGUAAAC